rnacentral:lncRNA from 1 species
GAAUCAAAGGAAAUUAUUAUUUCUAAACUUAUUUUUAUGAUGAUUAGAAGCAUAUUUACAUAAUUUGAGUGAUAAUUGCAUGAUUUUUUAUUAGUGUCAUCUUUUUCAAAAUCUUAAGGUGCUUUAAUGGUGGAUCUUGAAUUUUGAGAGGAAAUUCACAAAUCAAUGCAUGUUUCAACUCAAAAUGGAUCUAUUAGAAAUUUC